rnacentral:rRNA from 1 species
CCUACGGUAGGCAGCAGUAGGGAAUAUUGCGCAAUGGGCGAAAGCCUGACGCAGCGACGCCGCGUGAGGGAUGAAGGUCUUCGGAACGUAAACCUCUGUCAGCAGGGAAGAACGGUCACUGUGCUAAUCAGGAGUGAAUUGACGGUACCUGCAAAGGAAGCACCGGCUAACUCCGGGCCAGCAGCCGCGGUAAUACGGAGGGUGCGAGCGUUAAUCGGAAGUACUGGGCGUAAAGCGGUCGUAGGCGGUAUGUCAAGUCAAUGGUGAAAUCCCCGCGCUCAACGUGGGAACUACCUUUGAAACUGGCAAGCUGGAGUGUAUGAGAGGCUAGUGGAAUUCCAGGUGUAGGAGUGAAAUCCGUAGAUAUCUGGAGGAACAUCAGUGGCGAAGGCGGCUAUCUGGCACAUAACUGACGCUGAGGAGCGAAAGCGUGGGUAGCAAACAGGAUUAGAUACCCUAGUAGUC